UCAAAUUUUUAAGAGCAAACGGUGAAUGCCUUGGCAUGUAGAGCCGAAGAAGGACGUAGUAAUCUGCGAUAAGCCUCGGGGAGUUGAUAAACGAACUGUGAUCCGAGGAUGUCCGAAUGGGGAAACCCCGCCAGGCCCGUGAGGUGACCUGGUGACUCCCGCCUGAAUAUAUAGGGCGGGUAGAGGGAACGUGGGGAAGUGAAACAUCUCAGUACCCACAGGAAGAGAAAACAAUAGUGAUUCCGUUAGUAGUGGCGAGCGAACCCGGAUGAGGCUAAACCGAUCAUGUGUGAUAACCGGUAGGUGUUGCAUGGUCGGGGUUGCGGGACUUUUCUGCCUAUUCUACCGAAUGGUAAGGGUUAGAACGUUGUAUAGACGAACAGGAUUGAAAGCCUGGUCAUAGAGGGUGCGAACCCCGUAGUCGAAAUGCAGCAAUCGCCCGAGAAGUAUCCCAAGUAGCACGGGGCCCGAGAAAUCCCGUGUGAAUCCGUCAGGACCACCUGAUAAGCCUAAAUACUCCUACAUGACCGAUAGUGAACAAGUACCGUGAGGGAAAGGUGAAAAGUACCCCGGGAGGGGAGUGAAAUAGUACCUGAAACCGUUUGCUUACAAACCGUUGGAGCCAGCUUUGUUCUGGUGACAGCGUGCCUUUUGAAGAAUGAGCCUGCGAGUUAGUGAUAUGUGGCGAGCUUAACCCGAGAGGGGAAUGCGUAGCGAAAGCGAGUCUGAAUAGGGCGAUUCAGUCGCAUGUCCUAGACCCGAAGCGAAGUGAUCUAUCCAUGGCCAGGUUGAAGCGACGGUAAGACGUCGUGGAGGACCGAACCCACUUCAGUUGAAAAUGGAGGGGAUGAGCUGUGGAUAGGGGUGAAAGGCCAAUCAAACUUCGUGAUAGCUGGUUCUCUCCGAAAUGCAUUUAGGUGCAGCGUUGCGUGUUUCUUGCCGGAGGUAGAGCUACUGGAUGGCCGAUGGGGCCCAAAAGCUUACUGACGUCAGCCAAACUCCGAAUGCCGGUAAGUGAGAGCGCAGCAGUGAGACGGUGGGGGAUAAGCUUCAUCGUCGAGAGGGAAACAACCCAGACCACCAACUAAGGUCCCAAAGCGCGUGCUAAGUGGGAAAGGAUGUGGAGUUGCACAGACAACCAGGAGGUUGGCUUAGAAGCAGCCACCCUUGAAAGAGUGCGUAAUAGCUCACUGGUCAAGUGAUUCCGCGCCGACAAUGUAACGGGGCUCAAGCACGCCACCGAAGUUGUGGCAUUGAUAUUUUUGGUAAGCCGCACCCUUGUGGUGUUGGUUCAGCCGUGUUGAUGGGUAGGAGAGCGUCGUGUGGCCAGCGAAGCGGCGGUGUAAACCAGCCGUGGAGGCUACACGAGUGAGAAUGCAGGCAUGAGUAGCGAAAGACGGGUGAGAAACCCGUCCUCCGAAAGAUCAAGGGUUCCAGGGCCAGGCUAAUCCGCCCUGGGUAAGUCGGGACCUAAGGCGAGGCCGACAGGCGUAGUCGAUGGACAACGGGUUGAUAUUCCCGUACUGACGAAAAACCGCCCAAGCUAAUCCAGUAAUGCUAAGCAUCUGAAUCCCCUAGAUGGAUCCCUUCGGGGUGAAGCGUGGGGCCUAGCGUGCGACCCUAUGCUGGUGCGGUUAGCGUAUUAACAGGUGUGACGCAGGAAGGUAGCUGAGCCGGGCGAUGGUUGACCCGGUCUAAGGAUGUAGGCCGAGAGAUAGGCAAAUCCGUCUCUCAUAUAAGGUUGAGACCCGAUGGGUAGCCCGUGAGGGUGAAAUCAGUGAUCCUAUGCUGCCAAGAAAAGCAUCGACGCGAGGUUUUAGUCACCCGUACCCCAAACCGACUCAGGUGAUCAGGUAGAGAAUACUAAGGAGAUCGAGAGAAUCGUGGUUAAGGAACUCGGCAAAAUGCCCCCGUAACUUCGGGAGAAGGGGGGCCUGAGGCGUGAACGGACUAGCUCCGGGAGCGUUCGAAGGCCGCAGAGACCAGUGGGAAGCGACUGUUUACUAAAAACACAGGUCCGUGCUAAGUCGCAAGACGAUGUAUACGGACUGACGCCUGCCCGGUGCUGGAAGGUUAAGAGGAACGGUUAGCCGCAAGGCGAAGCUGAGAAUUUAAGCCCCAGUAAACGGCGGUGGUAACUAUAACCAUCCUAAGGUAGCGAAAUUCCUUGUCGGGUAAGUUCCGAC
rnacentral:rRNA from 1 species